rnacentral:tRNA from 1 species
GUUCUCAUAGUUGAAGUAUACAACGGCGGCUUUUCAAGCCGCGGGUCUUGGAGAGAGGCCAAGUGGGAAU